rfam:Salmo salar isolate Sally breed double haploid chromosome ssa15, whole genome shotgun sequence.
UGUAUGCAUUCACUGUAAGUCGCUCUGGAUAAGAGUGUCUGCUAAAUGACUAAAA